rnacentral:rRNA from 1 species
GACGAAGGGGGCUAGCGUUGUUCGGAAUUACUGGGCGUAAAGCGCGUGUAGGCGGUUGUCCAAGUUGGAUGUGAAAGCCUUGAGCUUAACUCAAGAAAUGCAUUCAGGACUGGAUGACUAGAGGACCGGAGAGGAUAGUGGAAUUCCCAGUGUAGUGGUGAAAUACGUAGAGAUUGGGAAGAACACCAGUGGCGAAGGCGGCUCACUGGACCGGUACUGACGCUGAUGCGCGAAAGCGUGGGGAGCAAACGGG